rnacentral:rRNA from 1 species
AGAGUUUGAUCCUGGCUCAGGACGAACGCUGGCGGCGUGCCUAAUACAUGCAAGUAGAACGCUGAAGAGAGGAGCUUGCUCUUCUUGGAUGAGUUGCGAACGGGUGAGUAACGCGUAGGUAACCUGCCUUGUAGCGGGGGAUAACUAUUGGAAACGAUAGCUAAUACCGCAUAACAAUGGGUGACUCAUGUCAUUUAUUUGAAAGGGGCAAAUGCUCCACUACAAGAUGGACCUGCGUUGUAUUAGCUAGUAGGUGAGGUAACGGCUCACCUAGGCGACGAUACAUAGCCGACCUGAGAGGGUGAUCGGCCACACUGGGACUGAGACACGGCCCAGACUCCUACGGGAGGCAGCAGUAGGGAAUCUUCGGCAAUGGGGGCAACCCUGACCGAGCAACGCCGCGUGAGUGAAGAAGGUUUUCGGAUCGUAAAGCUCUGUUGUAAGAGAAGAACGAGUGUGAGAGUGGAAAGUUCACACUGUGACGGUAGCUUACCAGAAAGGGACGGCUAACUACGUGCCAGCAGCCGCGGUAAUACGUAGGUCCCGAGCGUUGUCCGGAUUUAUUGGGCGUAAAGCGAGCGCAGGCGGUUUGAUAAGUCUGAAGUUAAAGGCUGUGGCUCAACCAUAGUUCGCUUUGGAAACUGUCAAACUUGAGUGCAGAAGGGGAGAGUGGAAUUCCAUGUGUAGCGGUGAAAUGCGUAGAUAUAUGGAGGAACACCGGUGGCGAAAGCGGCUCUCUGGUCUGUAACUGACGCUGAGGCUCGAAAGCGUGGGGAGCGAACAGGAUUAGAUACCCUGGUAGUCCACGCCGUAAACGAUGAGUGCUAGGUGUCGGGGAGGAAUCCUCGGUGCCGCAGCUAACGCAAUAAGCACUCCACCUGGGGAGUACGACCGCAAGGUUGAAACUCAAAGGAAUUGACGGGGGCCC